GCAGCAGCAGCUCCGAGGACGAAACUCCCCCCGCGCCGGGGCACAAACGCUGCGCGUCCUGCAAGACCCGCCGGACCCCCCUGUGGCGAGCGGCCGAGAACGGGACCCCCCUGUGCAAUGCCUGCGGCAUCAGGUACAAGAAGUACCGGGUGCGGUGCCGGCGCUGCUGGAACGUCCCGGGCAGGAGCGGGGGUGGGGGGGGGACCCCAAAAGCCCCGUCCUGUCCCCUCUGCGCGGGGUGGGGACCCCCCGGACCCCCCCGCGGGGACAGGAGGUGACCG